ACGGGAGGCAGCAGUGGGGAAUAUUGGGCAAUGGGCGAAAGCCUGACCCAGCAACGCCGCGUGAAGGAAGAAGGCCUUCGGGUUGUAAACUUCUUUUACCAGGGACGAAUAAUGACGGUACCUGGAGAAAAAGCAACGGCUAACUACGUGCCAGCAGCCGCGGUAAUACGUAGGUUGCAAGCGUUGUCCGGAUUUACUGGGUGUAAAGGGCGUGUAGGCGGAGCUGCAAGUCAGAUGUGAAAUCCCGAGGCUCAACCCCGGAACUGCAUUUGAAACUGUAGCCCUUGAGUAUCGGAGAGGCAAGCGGAAUUCCUAGUGUAGCGGUGAAAUGCGUAGAUAUUAGGAGGAACACCAGUGGCGAAGGCGGCUUGCUGGGCGACAACUGACGCUGAGGCGCGAAAGCGUGGGGAGCAAACAGGAUUAGAUACCCUGGUA
rnacentral:rRNA from 1 species